AUUGAACGCUGGCGGCAGGCCUAACACAUGCAAGUCGAGCGAGUGGCGGACGGGUGAGUAAUGUAUGGGAAACUGCCCGAUGGAGGGGGAUAACUACUGGAAACGGUAGCUAAUACCGCAUACUAUCGGAUGUACCCAGAUGGGAUUAGCUUGUAGGUGGGGUAACGGCUCACCAAGGCGACGAUCCCUAGCUGGUCUGAGAGGAUGACCAGCCACACUGGGACUGAGACACGGUCCAGACUCCUACGGGAGGCAGCAGUGGGGAAUAUUGCACAAGGGGCGCAAGCCUGAUGCAGCCAUGCCGCGUGUAUGAAGAAGGCCUUCGGGUUGUAAAGUACUUUCAGCGGGGAGGCGUUACCCGCAGAAGAAGCACCGGCUAACUCCGUGCCAGCAGCCGCGGUAAUAC
rnacentral:rRNA from 1 species